UACGGAGGAUGCAAGCGUUAUCCGGAAUGAUUGGGCGUAAAGCGUCCGCAGGUGGCUGUGUAAGUCUGCUGUUAAAGAGUCUAGCUCAACUAGAUAAGAGCAGUGGAAACUACACGGCUAGAGUACGUUCGGGGCAGAGGGAAUUCCUGGUGUAGCGGUGAAAUGCGUAGAGAUCAGGAGGAACACCAACGGCGAAGGCAGCUCGCUGGGACGGUACUGACGCUAAGGCGCGAAAGCCAGGGGAGCGAACGGG
rnacentral:rRNA from 1 species